rnacentral:misc_RNA from 1 species
GAUGAAGAACGUAGCGAAAUGGGAUAAGUAGUGUGAAUUGCAGAAUUCAGUGAAUCAUCGAAUCUUUGAACGCACAUUGCGCCCCUUGGUAUUCCAUGGGGCAUGCCUGUUCGAGCGUCAUUUGUACCUUCAAGCUUUGCUUGGUGUUGGGUGUUUGUCCCGAGGGACUCGCCUUAAAGUAAUUGGCAGCCAGUGUUUGGUUUUGAAGCGCAGCACAAGUCGCGAUUCAAGGCUACACGCCCGCUUCCACAAGCCUUUUUUCACUUUUGACCUCGGAUCAGGUAGGGAUACCCGCUGAACUUAAGCAUAUCAAUAAGCGGAGGA